rnacentral:rRNA from 1 species
AUUAAAACUCCGGUGGUUACAGAUGGGCAUGCGUGACAUUAGCUAGUUGGUAAGGUAACGGCUUACCAAGGCUACGAUGUCUAGGGGUUCUGAGAGGAUGAUCCCCCACACUGGUACUGAGACACGGACCAGACUCCUACGGGAGGCAGCAGUAAGGAAUAUUGGGCAAUGGAGGCAACUCUGACCCAGCCAUGCCGCGUGAAGGAUUGACGGCCCUCUGGGUUGUAAACUUCUUUUGUACGGGAAUAACCCUCCGAACGUGUUUGGAGUGACGGUACCUUACCAGAAAGCCACGGCUAACUACGUGCCAGCAGCCGCGGUAAUACGGAGGAUGCAAGCGUUAUCCGGAUUUAUUGGGUUUAAAGGGUGCGUAGGCGGCUUUUUAAGUCAGUGGUGAAAUCCUGCCGCUUAACGGUAGAAUUGCCAUUGAUACUGAAAAGCUUGAGUACAUUUGAGGUAAGCGGAAUGUGUAGUGUAGCGGUGAAAUGCUUAGAGAUGACACAGAACACCGACGGCGAAGGCAGGUUACCAACCCAUUACUGACGCUGAGGCACGAAAGCGUGGGGAUCAAACAGGAUUAGAUACCCUGGUAGUCCACGCCGUAAACUAUGAUUACUAGUUGUUGGCGAUACAUUGCCAGUGACUGAGCGAAAGCAUUAAGUAAUCCACCUGGGGAGUACGUUCGCAAGAAUGAAACUCAAAGGAAUUGACGGGGGCCCGCACAAGCGGAGGAGCAUGUGGUUUAAUUCGAUGAUACGCGAGGAACCUUACCUGGGCUUAAAUGUAGAGCGACAGAUUGUGAAAGCAGUCCUUCUUCGGACGAUCUACAAGGUGCUGCAUGGUUGUCGUCAGCUCGUGCCGUGAGGUGUCGGGUUAAGUCCCAUAACGAGCGCAACCCUUAUCGUUAGUUGCCAGCGGGUCAAGCCGGGGACUCUAGCGAGACUGCCACCGUAAGGUGUGAGGAAGGUGGGGAUGACGUCAAAUCAGCACGGCCCUUAUGUCCAGGGCUACACACGUGUUACAAUGGCCGAUACAAAGGGCAGCUACUCCGCGAGGAGAUGCUAAUCUCUAAAGUCGGUCCCAGUUCGGAUUGGAGUCUGCAACCCGACUCCAUGAAGUUGGAUUCGCUAGUAAUCGCGCAUCAGCCAUGGCGCGGUGAAUACGUUCCCGGGCCUUGUACACACCGCCCGUCAAGCCAUGGGAGCU